rnacentral:lncRNA from 1 species
AAUACAACUGUUCCACCAAAUCCCAUCGUGUGGUUAUCUGCUGACAGAAUGCAGAACACCAAGAGCACAAACAGAGAAGCUGAUGACCAUGUCUGCUGUCUGGACAGUUAUCUUUUGGCAGUGACCUGGUUAAUAAUUUAACCCUUGAGGUGCCAAGUGGGAGAGCUGUGCAGUGUUAAGCAGAAGACGGUGAACCAUAGACGCCCGAAAGGUACACUCCUAGCCAUCUCGGGGUUAAAUGUACUGCAGUUUUGAAAACAUGCUCAUUGCCUUUUUGAGGCGGUAACAGAAUGGUUCUUAACCCCAGUACACUAUACAUAGACUGCGUACAGUCCCCAGCCCAUACUGUCAUCUGAUCUGAACAAUAUGUUUCCUAUUUUACUAAUUUCCAAGAAAUGCAGGUUCCCCCUCCACCUUUCCCCCUCCCCCCCCUCCAAUUUGCAGGAAUCCAGUGACAAGCCACUUUCAUUUUUAAAGCAAAUUCUUUAUUUCCUGCCUCACCUUUAAAUUGCAUUCCUCUCCCACUGUUGGCAAUAUCACUAGAUCUUGUCUCACACAUCUCCUUCAUUAAGCUUAAUCUUACGCUUUACUCUGUUGCCAAUGGAGGUACUGCCAUAUCCAUUUACAUAGCACAGCUGGUUUAACAUCACUGGAAAUGCCAUGCUCUCCACCCAGCCACUGGUUGUCUGGGUUACUGUCUUUUUUUUUUUUUUUGUACUGUGGUUAAUGUGUCCGGAGCUAGCAAUUUGUUGAAAUUCAAGAAAAUAAUCAAACCAUGAAGGGAACCACUCAUAAUGAAGCACCAUUUUGGAAUCUCCCCUCACAUUUAUAGACUUGUCCAGGUAUACCAAUAUAUGCAACUUUGGUGUUUUAGACCAGACUUCCACCACAUUUGUUGUGGUCUAAUACAGACUGUAUUUCACUAUCUUGUUACAGUCCAAAAUGCUGCCAACACUCCCAUUAUUUUUGUCAUAGUACCACUGUUGUGACCAAGACAGGCCUCACUAUCCUUUAUAAGGUCCCCAUUCAUCUUAUCGUGUUUUGCAACAAAUUCUGAAAUAUUCACUGCAUCAUCCUCAGCUGAGUGGCCAAGCAUCAGAACUCCCAGCUUUCUAUAUGUUCUGUUAAAAAAAUGUGUGAGCUUUCCUCCAUGUGUGGAGAAACAGAAUUUGAAUUGGGGCUGGGGGGAGGGGGUGAUACAGCUUGAAGGAUAGAUGCAGCUCUUGGUGAUACAUAGCUAUGGGAGGAAAUAUGAAAUUGGGAAUUAUGGCCUUGAUAGGAACAUGCUGGGUAUGUUGGAUGUGGCUCUCAACAAAUGAACAAUAAAACUAGAAAAGACAGACCCACAGGCAGCUAUCAAAACUCAUAUGAAUGGAGGACCAUAGGAAGGAGAUAAGACAAUGCACUAUAACAACAGGAGGCAGGAGAUACACUGUGAAAAUGAUGCAUUGCAUACAAAAUAGAGCAACACUACGUACAAUUAUCAAAAAGUAAUCUUUGUGGUGGAUGGUGUGUGGGCACCGGAUUCACAAAAGCAGUACUGGCAAAAGAAAAGUCACAAAGAAACACUAAGGCCUGGUACUAAAAAGCCACAAAGCAAUGGGAUUGCAGCCGAAACAGUGAAAAGAUGGGCACAGGCAAAGGCACAUACGGACAGUGGGCCACAAGAGGGACAUAGGUGUAAACAAAAAGGUACCCAAGAAUUGACACACGUGAAAAAUAGCCACAACACAGACAAGGAAAUGACACAUGGGAACAGGAGCUACAAGACAGACUAAAUCUGCAAGAACGUGAGAGCAGUGGAUGCUACAAGCCAGUCACAAGGUCAAAGGAAACAGCACACAUUGGCAAGAAACACAAGGAGACACAAAGAACAAUGUUGUUACAAAGGGACAGAGACCACAAAUUUGGCACAAGCAGAGAGUAGAAAACAGACAGUACAAGUAUUUUGCUUUACAACUGAUAUUAGUGAAGUGGAUGCUUUUAAUUGAACACAUGGUUUCUGACAGUUUAUAUAUAUAUAUAUAUAUAUAUAUAUAGGCUCCAAAGUGUUAAACAUUUGUGUCUUGGUUACUUGGCUUUCCGCAGUUCAGAUAGGUAACCCAGUACGAUGAAUUCCUCUAUGUACUUUGGCUACUGGCUUCCAGUAAAAGUUAAAUUAAUUUCCCAUAAGAACGAGAUGAAGGCAUGACUGAGAUGAGGUAAACACAGUAAGCGAGCACAAGCCAGAAGAUGAGGUAAACACACACAAAGAACAGCAUUAAUUAUCGCUAAACUAAACACGGCAUUUAUAUAUAGGGAGCAAGAUCCAGGAAAAGGACUGCAAUCCUAUGUUAUACUUCCACGGCUGCAGGAAUUAGGCACAACGUAUCUGGAGCAGUGCAAUGUCUCCCCCAAACUGUACUGUGAAACCGGCAUUGUCUGUUCAAAAGACGACAUAUAUAUUGCUACAUUUAUGGUUUGUCUUAUUUUUUAAUGCAGGGCUAUAUCAUCUCAGGUUGACAAAUCUAACAAAAUGGCCCAGCUACAUUACAUUUCGUACACACGACUAUCCCAACUAGAUCAAUACCUGCUGUAUGGAGCCGCGGAAUAUGCUUUAUAAAUAAAAUGAACAAUAGAAACCCAUAGCAAUUAGCUGUAGCCUGUUUUCAGAAGUCUCUAUGAGCAACUGGAAAUGAACGUCUACUGGAGGCAUGGAAUAGCCUUCCAGCUGAAGUGGUAGAGGUUAACACAGUGAGGGAGUUUAAGCAUGCGUGGGAUAGGCAUAAGGCUAUCCUAGACUUAAGAUAAGGCCACGGACUAAUUAAAAGUAUUGCAAAAUAUUGGGCAGGCUAGAUGGGCCGAAUGGUUCUUAUCUGCCGUCACAUUCUAUGUUACUAUAUUUUUAUCCUUUUAUUGCUCAAAUUGCCGAGUCUUCAAACCCAGAUGGAAAUCACAUAAUUUACCUUCUUGUUUGUUCCUGGUCACAGAUAUAUUUUCUAUUGACUCGUAAGUGCAGGUUGAAUUAUAGAUCACACUCUGCCUCUACCGAAUGUGAGGAUAUGCGGUGGGAGCUAGUGCACGUAUAUAAUUUGUAUGCUAACACACUGCUCUCUCCUUUGAUAUUACAUAGAAAACCACUAACUGCUAAGAUGUUGAUGUACUGAGCAUUGCAAUUUAUGUUUAUAAAACUUUUUCUAUCUCUCUUACAGUCUCUCCAUUCUCUGCUGUCACUCCCCCUAAAGCUUUGGACCUGGCAUUUGGUGUCCUGUGUGAACUGAUUCAGCGGUGGGACCAGGUUACGGCUGGCAUCAUCUUUCUGAUGGAGUGGUUGUUGGGAGAAGAUGACCUAAGUGAUCUGGAGACCAUGAAAUUGGUAAUUGCUGACCACAAAUUGCAGUCAAACAAAGACCUGUCUAACACCGGAGAGCGUGCAAAACAACCACAUGUGAAAGAAGCAUUAAAUAAACAAGUGUAGUUGGCGGUUUCAGUGGAGAAUUAGGCAAUAUUGAAAAUAUGCU